GCCUUCAUGGUGUAGUGGUCAGUACGCUGGGCGCGUAUUCCAGAAAUCCAUGAUUCGAAUCCCAGUGAGGGCU
rnacentral:tRNA from 1 species